GAUUGACGAGGGAGGAGCUGCAAAUGAACGAGGCCCCUGGAAUCGUAACACAACGACAAGGGCGGCUUCAUCUUGUUGCCAAACCAUGGGGUGCUUAGAAAAGGAAACUAGUAAAUAGUAAUAACUUGUUGUGUGCAUGCUAUGACGUAAAUGAUGCAUAUGAACUCCGAACCUGAGCAUUAUCAUAAGCCCAUCGAACGAUGCCACAAUGUUCCUCAAACAGUGAUGCUUAAACACUUGUAUCUACCUUUCGGCAUUCUAAUGUUGGUGCUUCAAUAAUACACUGUUGUGUGUAUGCUGUGAUCUGCAUGAUGCAUGUGGAACGCUGUAUAGCACCUGUCUAUCUCGAAUUAUAACACUAUAUAGCACCUACCUUCAGAUGUUCUUCGAGCUGUGAUGCCAAAAUAAUUGUAUCCACCUUUCCGAUUGUCCCGAGGCCCCCUGUCUACCUCGGAAGCACAAAUAAAUGAGGCCCAAUAUGAACUUUGAGCAUAUAAAACAAGAAUCCACAAAAGUAUAUUAUAAUCUCCUCUCAAUAGCGCAAAUGUUCUCACACAUCACAUCUUUUAGAUUAGAACGCAUUAGCAUCCAAAGAACAAUCAGCAAAAAGCAUAUAUAAAGCUCUUUUUGCCUCAUCAACAUUGCGCCUAUCUCUUCUUUAAGCAAAACGGAGAAUUUUCUCUGAAUUAAUUUCAUUGCAUAAAUAAACAACAAUACAACAAAGCACAAAAAUCCAUAGCUUACUCAAAGCAGCACAUUUUUUAUUCCCUAAAUGCAAGAUGUAAGACAGAGAUAUUAAAUUAGUCAAUGGUAGGGGUAAAAAAAUAAUGUGACUUUACCAGUAGUGACCAAAGUGUAUACGCAAGUCUCUGGUGCACAAACUUUGUUUCAAUUGUGUCAGGAAUGUCUUUACUCGUUUCUUCACCAGCUAAUAUAGUAAUUAUAUAUUAAUGACAAUGAAUGUCACUCAGUCCUUUUGCACUUCCAUUCUUGAUAUAUAGCAUAUAGUUAUCCAUUAAAUUCUCUUUUUUCAUUCCUCAUCUAAGAUGUAAGACAGAGAUAUCCAAUAGGACUUUUCAAACAAAAUUCCAAAACUUUUGGACAAUUCUUUCAGUUUUGUCUCACCAAAAAGCCUCUUUAUUAGUGGUCCAUCUUGGCAUCAACAUACCUCAUUGUAUCAUAUGACAUUUCAAAUAUUUUCUUUGCAAUUGUUGAUAUCUAACUUUCAGGCAUCUGAUGUUAAACAUAGUCUUCCCAACAUUAUCCAGCUAUCUUAUCCAGUGGUAAAUCCACUUAUUGUCUGGAAUACCAUUUUUAUUUAUUCUCAGAAUUCUCAAGAAGAUCAAGGCCUAAUGUAAAAGACUUUUCAUGCUCCUAUAUUUGAUUUCUAUUACCUGUACUCUACUCUAACCCUCCGAUAUUUAUCUUUGGUUACCGGGAGGUAUAUCGAUAAAAGACAUUUCAGCAGUAAAAUCCCAAGUUUUGUUGAUAGGGACCAACAAUAUAUACAAUGGAGUGUGAUAGGUCAAUUCGAAUAGGAACUUAACUGCGAGAGAAAUGAUGUAACAGCGACAAUUUACCUGAAAUUAUAGAAACAUCAAAAGGCAGAUCAAUUUUCUAGUCACCACAUUCUUUUAGCUGGACAAGAAGCAGCCACCUGAAGUCGUUUUAUUUCUAAGCAUAUGAAAGUAUCAAUUCAAGACGAAACAACAGAGAAUUCACUGUCUCAAUCAAAUUGGACUAAGGCAGAAAGCUAAAGAAUUAAAAUGGCACUUCAAAGACAGAUUCUGAUGAGUAUUUGCAACCUGCUUGCGAAUGAGGACGAAGCCAAGAGAUUACUGCCACUGAGAUUGUAAUCCGAGAGGACUCCACAAAGCCUCUACUAAUGCCUGUCGGAUACUAAAAAGGGGUUCCUUCUCAAUCAAAGUAGGGUUUCUGCAUAAGAAUGAUGACGCAACUUUCAUCCGAAGAUCCGUCUGUACGUUCAGUGUUAGAAACACAGGGUGUCCCAGAUCAUUUGGGGAGCAGGAUUCGACGAUCCCUACCACCCGAUGAUCAAUCCACCAAGCCAAUCAACACCAUGGAGAACAAAUCAAAUCCCUAGGCAGGUCUGCAAGACAACAACCUGCAGCUGUCCAAGAACCAAUCGGGUAGACCCGAUUGCAAUUUUCCCCUAACCGAAGCCACGCAGAUGAUAGUCGGGAGGCAGAGGCAUACCCUGAAACCCUAACGCGCACAGCCACGGAAUGAGCUUGAAAUCCCCAUCGUCGUCGUCGAGAUUCAGUCCGCCAUCAUCCGUGCACCGAUCGCGAAAGAAAGGGCAAUAUUGGUGGUCUGACGCCUGCACGAAGCCGGCAAGGCCGGGGAUUUGCAAGGGAGGAGACUCCUCGACGGGUCGGAGGAGAGAGUGAGGGUUUUAGUAGGAGGGGGAGUAAGUGGGAGAAGGGCCGCAGGGAAGGCGGGGAGGUGAGGGUUUGAGAAUCCCGAGAAGAAGAGGAGGAACGAAUGAGGAGAGGAAGGAGAACGGAGUCGUAGACGUCGAUUCUGUCUUCCCACGGCUUGUGGCUCCUCCGACUCUUCUCGGUCCCUCGAGCUCUCGUG
rnacentral:lncRNA from 1 species